UACGAAGGGGGCUAGCGUUGCUCGGAAUCACUGGGCGUAAAGGGCGCGUAGGCGGCGCGGGCAGUCAACGGUGAAAGCUUGGGGCUCAACCCCGAGUCGGCCGUCGAUACUCCCGGGCUGGAGCACUGUAGAGGCAGGUGGAAUUCCGGGUGUAGCGGUGGAAUGCGUAGAGAUCCGGAAGAACACCGGUGGCGAAGGCGGCCUGCUGGGCAGUAGCUGACGCUGAGGCGCGACAGCGUGGGGAGCAAACAGG
rnacentral:rRNA from 1 species